CACGUAGGGGACGAGCGUUGUCCGGAUUCAUUGGGCGUAAAGCGCGCGUAGGCGGCUCGGAAAGUCGGUCGUGAAAUGCCGGGGCUCAACCCCGGGACUGCGUCCGAUACUCCCGAGCUGGAGGCAGGUAGGGGAGAUCGGAAUUCCUGGUGUAGCGGUGAAAUGCGCAGAUAUCAGGAGGAACACCGGUGGCGAAGGCGGAUCUCUGGGCCGUGCCUGACGCUGAGGCGCGAAAGCUAGGGGAGCGAACAGG
rnacentral:rRNA from 1 species